rnacentral:tRNA from 2 species
GGGGGCGUAGCUCAGCUGGUUAGAGCGUCUGCGUGACAUGCAGAAGGUCAUAGGUCCGAUUCCUACCGUCCCCA